rnacentral:rRNA from 1 species
GAUGAACGCUGGCGGCGUGCCUAAUACAUGCAAGUCGAGCGAACGGACGAGAAGCUUGCUUCUCUGAUGUUAGCGGCGGACGGGUGAGUAACACGUGGAUAACCUACCUAUAAGACUGGGAUAACUUCGGGAAACCGGAGCUAAUACCGGAUAAUAUUUUGAACCGCAUGGUUCAAAAGUGAAAGACGGUCUUGCUGUCACUUAUAGAUGGAUCCGCGCUGCAUUAGCUAGUUGGUAAGGUAACGGCUUACCAAGGCAACGAUGCAUAGCCGACCUGAGAGGGGGCACGCCCCCAUGGACAUGGCCACGGGCCCCACACCCCCGGGGGGGGCCGAUGUGGGAAUUUUCCCGAAGGGGGCGAACCCCUACCGGGCCAAGCCCGGGUGGGUAAAGAGGUUUUCGGGUCUGAAAACCUUUUUUUUGGGGAAAAACAAUAUGGUAAGUUACUUGGCCACACUGGGACGGCCCUAAACAAAAAACCCCGCUGAAUCCCCG